GGAACCCUCAAGCGGCACCUGCGGAUCCCACAGCGGGGAGAAGCCCCACGUGUGCAUCCACUGCCAGCGGCAGUUUGCUGACCCUGGUGCCCUGCAGCGGCACGUCCGGAUCCACACGGGUUCGUCCAAUCUAGCCAGUUGGCCAAUCACAUUCGUCACCAUGACAACAUCCGCCCACACAAGUGCAGUGUUUGCAGCAAGGCCUUUGUGAACGUGGGGGACCUGUCCAAGCACAUCAUCAUCCACACUGGAGAGAAGCCCUACCUGUGUGACAAGUGUGGGCGUGGCUUCAACCGGGUGGACAACCUGCGGUCCCAUGUGAAGACUGUGCACCAGGGCAAGGCCGGCAUCAAAAUCUUGGAGCCAGAGGAGGGGGCAGUGAGGUCAGCGUGGUCACUGUGGAUGACAUGGUCACACUGGCCACCGAGGCACUGGCAGCAACAGCCGUCACUCAGCUCACAGUGGUACCAGUGGGGGCAGCGGUGACAGCCGAUGAGACAGAAGUGCUAAAAGCUGAGAUCAGCAAAGCCGUAAAGCAAGUGCAGGAAGAAGACCCCAACACCCACAUCCUCUACGCCUGUGACUCCUGUGGGGACAAAUUCCUGGAUGCCAACAGUCUGGCGCAGCACGUUCGGAUCCACACAGCCCAAGCGCUGGUCAUGUUUCAGACAGACGCGGACUUCUACCAGCAGUACGGCCCGGGAGGCACGUGGCCAGCUGGGCAGGCUGAAGUGCUUUCCAGGUUACCUAGGAGCCAAUCAGGACCUUGAAGUUUCAUGAUGAUCUACACACACCAGAACACUGGAAAAUGUUACAGUUCAUCCACAAGAAGUCUUUUGUACAAGAUGAAGUCAUCUUGGGGAGGAUUAAGGUGGGGUAAAAGCAUAGGUGAGGUGAAGCUAGCUGUUGCCCUAAGCCAGUGCCCCCUGGCCCUCCCACAGAGCGACAAAUCACAUUCACACUUGAGGUGUUUUGUAUUUUUUAAUAAAGUUUGUAAUCCAAUGGACACACAAAACAAAACUGCGCUGAGAAAACAGUUUCAUAAAUUAAUAAGUGUUAGGAAGUGGGAGAGGUCUGGGUCACAGGAAGAAGGUUGGCCAGUCUUUCUGUACAGGUGCUGUGUGACACUUCCACGAAGCGGGAGCAGCGCCCGUGCUGUCAUGAAGCGCACUUAUACAAAUGAG
rnacentral:lncRNA from 1 species